AUUGAACGCUGGCGGCAUGCUUUACACAUGCAAGUCGAACGGUAACAGGCCUUCGGGUGCUGACGAGUGGCGAACGGGUGAGUAAUGCAUCGGAACGUACCCAGAGGUGGGGGAUAACGCAGCGAAAGCUGUGCUAAUACCGCAUGUGAUCUGAGGAUGAAAGCGGGGGACCGAGCAGCAAUGUUUGGCCUCGCGCCUUUGGAGCGGCCGAUGUCGGAUUAGCUAGUUGGUGGGGUAAAGGCCUACCAAGGCGACGAUCCGUAGCUGGUCUGAGAGGACGACCAGCCACACUGGGACUGAGACACGGCCCAGACUCCUACGGGAGGCAGCAGUGGGGAAUUUUGGACAAUGGGCGCAAGCCUGAUCCAGCAAUGCCGCGUGCGGGAAGAAGGCCUUCGGGUUGUAAACCGCUUUUGGCAGGAACGAAACGGUGUCCGCUAAUACCGGGCGCUAAUGACGGUACCUGCAGAAUAAGCACAGGCUAACUACGU
rnacentral:rRNA from 1 species